GAGUUUGAACCUGGCUCAGGACGAACGCUGGCGGCGUGCCUAAUACAUGCAAGUCGAGCGAGCUUGCCUAGAUGAUUUUAGUGCUUGCACUAAAUGAAACUAGAUACAAGCGAGCGGCGGACGGGUGAGUAACACGUGGGUAACCUGCCCAAGAGACUGGGAUAACACCUGGAAACAGAUGCUAAUACCGGAUAACAACACUAGACGCAUGUCUAGAGUUUGAAAGAUGGUUCUGCUAUCACUCUUGGAUGGACCUGCGGUGCAUUAGCUAGUUGGUAAGGUAACGGCUUACCAAGGCAAUGAUGCAUAGCCGAGUUGAGAGACUGAUCGGCCACAUUGGGACUGAGACACGGCCCAAACUCCUACGGGAGGCAGCAGUAGGGAAUCUUCCACAAUGGACGAAAGUCUGAUGGAGCAACGCCGCGUGAGUGAAGAGGGGUUUCGGCUCGUAAAGCUCUGUUGGUAGUGAAGAAAGAUAGAGGUAGUAACUGGCCUUUAUUUGACGGUAAUUACUUAGAAAGUCACGGCUAACUACGUGCCAGCAGCCGCGGUAAUACGUAGGUGGCAAGCGUUGUCCGGAUUUAUUGGGCGUAAAGCGAGUGCAGGCGGUUCAAUAAGUCUGAUGUGAAAGCCUUCGGCUCAACCGGAGAAUUGCAUCAGAAACUGUUGAACUUGAGUGCAGAAGAGGAGAGUGGAACUCCAUGUGUAGCGGUGGAAUGCGUAGAUAUAUGGAAGAAC
rnacentral:rRNA from 1 species